UACGGGGGUGCGAGCGUUGUCCGGAAUCACUGGGCGUAAAGAGCGUGUAGGCGGCCUGAAAGGUCAGCUGUGAAAACUCGAGGCUCAACCUCGAGACGUCGGUUGAAACCAUCUGGCUAGAGUCCGGAAGAGGAGAGUGGAAUUCCCGGUGUAGCGGUGAAAUGCGCAGAUAUCGGGAAGAACACCCGUGGCGAAGGCGGCUCUCUGGGACGGUACUGACGCUGAGACGCGAAAGCGUGGGGAGCGAACGAGG
rnacentral:rRNA from 1 species